UACAGAGGUCCCAAGCGUUGUUCGGAAUUACUGGGCGUAAAGGGCUCGUAGGCGGCCAACUAAGUCAGACGUGAAAUCCCUCGGCUUAACCGGGGAACUGCGUCUGAUACUGGAUGGCUUGAGUUUGGGAGAGGGAUGCGGAAUUCCAGGUGUAGCGGUGAAAUGCGUAGAUAUCUGGAGGAACACCGGUGGCGAAGGCGGCAUCCUGGACCAACACUGACGCUGAGGAGCGAAAGCCAGGGGAGCAAACGGG
rnacentral:rRNA from 1 species